rnacentral:lncRNA from 1 species
GCCUUGGUCACUAGCCCUUGAUCAAGAGUGCAGGCAAGGGCAAUGGCUCCGCCAACAACUAGAAGCUUAGGUAUGCUUCUCCCGAUCGGUUUGUCAUCAAAAGAAUCCUGAUUUUCAGUCUCCAACAAGUUACUGGUCGAGUCUUCCAGACAUCUCACAUAAUCAGCAGUUACCUUGGUGUUGAUUUUAGCGUUAUUAGCACAUGGUGACAAUGGAACACCGGAAUCCCUUUCUUUCUUAUACGUACGUAGUCCAGGAUCAAACUUCUUGACGGCUCCCCACAUACCCUGACGAACUCCAAGCUUAGCGAUUUCCCAAGGUAUGCCCAUAUCUUCGUAGU